UGGGGGAUAUUGCGCAAUGGGGGAAACCCUGACGCAGCAACGCCGCGUGAAGGAAGACGGUUUUCGGAUUGUAAACUUCUUUUAUAAGGGACGAAAUUGACGGUACCUUAUGAAUAAGCUCCGGCUAACUACGUGCCAGCAGCCGCGGUAAUACGUAGGGAGCAAGCGUUGUCCGGAUUUACUGGGUGUAAAGGGUGCGUAGGCGGCUAAGCAAGUCAGAUGUGAAAUGUAUGGGCUCAACCCAUGCACUGCAUUUGAAACUGUUUGGCUUGAGUGAAGUAGAGGUAGGCGGAAUUCCCUGUGUAGCGGUGAAAUGCGUAGAGAUAGGGAGGAACACCAGUGGCGAAGGCGGCCUACUGGGCUUUAACUGACGCUGAGGCACGAAAGCGUGGGUAGCAAACAGG
rnacentral:rRNA from 2 species